rnacentral:rRNA from 1 species
AUUGAACGCUGGCGGCAUGCUUUACACAUGCAAGUCGAACGGUAACAGGCCGCAAGGUGCUGACGAGUGGCGAACGGGUGAGUAAUGCAUCGGAACGUGCCCAGUCGUGGGGGAUAACGCAGCAAAAGCUGUGCUAAUACCGCAUACGAUCUAUGGAUGAAAGCGGGGGACCGUAAGGCCUCGCGCGAUUGGAGCGGCCGAUGUCAGAUUAGGUAGUUGGUGGGGUAAAGGCUCACCAAGCCAACGAUCUGUAGCUGGUCUGAGAGGACGACCAGCCACACUGGGACUGAGACACGGCCCAGACUCCUACGGGAGGCAGCAGUGGGGAAUUUUGGACAAUGGGCGCAAGCCUGAUCCAGCAAUGCCGCGUGCAGGAAGAAGGCCUUCGGGUUGUAAACUGCUUUUGUACGGAGCGAAAAGGCUCCCUCUAAUACAGGGGGCUCAUGACGGUACCGUAAGAAUAAGCACCGGCUAACUACGUGCCAGCCGCCGCCGUAACAC